rnacentral:rRNA from 1 species
CACCGCGGUUAAACGAGAGGCCCAAGUUGUUAUCCUCCGGCGUAAAGAGUGGUUAAGGACUAAUUACUACUAAAGCCGCACACCUUCAAAGCUGUUAUACGCCCCCGAAGAGUAGAAGCCCAACCACGAAGGUAGCUUUAUUACCCCUGACCCCACGAGAGCUCUGGCA